rnacentral:rRNA from 1 species
UACGUAGGGCGCAAGCGUUGUCCGGAAUUAUUGGGCGUAAAGAGCUCGUAGGCGGUUUGUCACGUCGGGUGUGAAAGCCCGGGGCUUAACCCCGGGUCUGCAUUCGAUACGGGCUGGCUAGAGUGUGGUAGGGGAGAUCGGAAUUCCUGGUGUAGCGGUGAAAUGCGCAGAUAUCAGGAGGAACACCGGUGGCGAAGGCGGAUCUCUGGGCCGUUACUGACGCUGAGGAGCGAAAGCGUGGGGAGCGAACAGG